AUUGAACGCUGGCGGCAGGCCUAACACAUGCAAGUCGAGCGGUAGCACAGAGAGCUUGCUCUCGGGUGACGAGCGGCGGACGGGUGAGUAAUGUCUGGGAAACUGCCUGAUGGAGGGGGAUAACUACUGGAAACGGUAGCUAAUACCGCAUAACGUCGCAAGACCAAAGUGGGGGACCUUCGGGCCUCAUGCCAUCAGAUGUGCCCAGAUGGGAUUAGCUAGUAGGUGGGGUAAUGGCUCACCUAGGCGACGAUCCCUAGCUGGUCUGAGAGGAUGACCAGCCACACUGGAACUGAGACACGGUCCAGACUCCUACGGGAGGCAGCAGUGGGGAAUAUUGCACAAUGGGCGCAAGCCUGAUGCAGCCAUGCCGCGUGUGUGAAGAAGGCCUUCGGGUUGUAAAGCACUUUCAGCGGGGAGGAAGGCGGUGAGGUUAAUAACCUCAUCGAUUGACGUUACCCGCAGAAGAAGCACCGGCUAACUCCGUGCCAGCAGCCGCGGUAAUACGGAGGGUGCAAGCGUUAAUCGGAAUUACUGGGCGUAAAGCGCACGCAGGCGGUCUGUCAAGUCGGAUGUGAAAUCCCCGGGCUCAACCUGGGAACUGCAUUCGAAACUGGCAGGCUAGAGUCUUGUAGAGGGGGGUAGAAUUCCAGGUGUAGCGGUGAAAUGCGUAGAGAUCUGGAGGAAUACCGGUGGCGAAGGCGGCCCCCUGGACAAAGACUGACGCUCAGGUGCGAAAGCGUGGGGAGCAAACAGGAUUAGAUACCCUGGUAGUCCACGCCGUAAACGAUGUCGAUUUGGAGGUUGUGCCCUUGAGGCGUGGCUUCCGGAGCUAACGCGUUAAAUCGACCGCCUGGGGAGUACGGCCGCAAGGUUAAAACUCAAAUGAAUUGACGGGGGCCCGCACAAGCGGUGGAGCAUGUGGUUUAAUUCGAUGCAACGCGAAGAACCUUACCUGGUCUUGACAUCCACAGAACUUUCCAGAGAUGGAUUGGUGCCUUCGGGAACUGUGAGACAGGUGCUGCAUGGCUGUCGUCAGCUCGUGUUGUGAAAUGUUGGGUUAAGUCCCGCAACGAGCGCAACCCUUAUCCUUUGUUGCCAGCGGUCCGGCCGGGAACUCAAAGGAGACUGCCAGUGAUAAACUGGAGGAAGGUGGGGAUGACGUCAAGUCAUCAUGGCCCUUACGACCAGGGCUACACACGUGCUACAAUGGCACAUACAAAGAGAAGCGACCUCGCGAGAGCAAGCGGACCUCAUAAAGUAUGUCGUAGUCCGGAUUGGAGUCUGCAACUCGACUCCAUGAAGUCGGAAUCGCUAGUAAUCGUAGAUCAGAAUGCUACGGUGAAUACGUUCCCGGGCCU
rnacentral:rRNA from 1 species